rnacentral:rRNA from 1 species
GACGAACCGAGCAAACGUUAUUCGGAAUCACUGGGCUUAAAGGGCGCGUAGGCGGGCAUCCAAGUCUGUGGUGAAAUCCGGCAGCUUAACUGUCGAACUGCCGUGGAUACUGGGUGUCUCGAGGGAGGUAGGGGCGUGCGGAACUAUUGGUGGAGCGGUGAAAUGCGUUGAUAUCAAUAGGAACUCCGGUGGCGAAGGCGGCACGCUGGACCUCUUCUGUCGCUGAGGCGCGAAAGCCAGGGGAGCAAACGGG